UUCCCUUUUCCCUCUGCGGCUUCAGCACUGCCGACUGCGACUCGUCUCGUCUCCCUCAGGCCUCACCUCUCCGUCAGCCCGUCGUCUACUCACUGCUCCACCGGCGUCCGGCGGCCGGCCACCACGAGGUCCACCGUCCAGUCGUCCACGAGUCUUCUCCAGCUCUGCGUCAGUCCGUCGUCUGCUCAGUAAUCCACCGGCGGCCAGUCUUCUACUCUUCUCCAGUUCGCCGUCGUCUGCUCCAGUCCACCAGCCCUCGACUCCACGGCCAGCAGUCCACCAGACUACGAGACUUGUAGAGUUGGAAUUUACCCCUCCUCCCCCAGUCUCGCUGCGCAUCAACGCCGGAAUCUGCAAGGGUCUCUCCUCCCCCAGUCUCGCACAGCAAUGCCGGAAUCUGCAAAGCUAAGAGUAUGAGACGCAGGCACAUAGUGAUACAAGCUUGCAACCUCACAAUCUUUCUCUGACGGAAAGCCUUCUCCCUCACAACUGCAAAGCUCAGUUGAAAGCAAAGAGAAUCACUGCCAUGGGAACUUCAGUGCAGGUGAAGCCAUUGUGUGGAGUGUAUAACGAAAACCCUCUCUCCUACCUUGUCUCCGUUGAUGGCUUUAACUUCCUUAUUGACUGUGGUUGGAAUGACCACUUUGAUACCUCUCUUCUCCAACCCCUGUCCAGGGUAGCAUCAACAGUGGAUGCCGUGCUGCUCUCGUAUCCAGACACCCUUCACCUUGGUGCCCUGCCCUAUGCCAUGAAACACUUUGGAUUAGCUGCUCCUGUUUACGCCACUGAACCUGUUUAUAGAUUAGGAUUAUUAACUAUGUAUGAUCAAUAUCUCUCGCGUAAGCAAGUGUCCGAUUUUAAUUUGUUUACCCUGGAUGACAUUGAUUUUGCAUUCCAAAGUGUCACCAGAUUAACCUACUCUCAGAACUAUCAUAUGUCCGGGAAAGGUGAAGGAGUUGUCAUUGCUCCACAUGUAUCUGGUCAUCUACUAGGGGGUACAGUCUGGAAGAUAACAAAAGAUGGGGAAGAUGUUAUAUAUGCUGUUGACUUUAAUCAUCGCAAAGAAAGGCUUUUAAAUGGAACCAUUUUAGAGUCUUUUGUUCGCCCUGCUGUCCUAAUUACUGAUGCCUAUAAUGCUUUGAGCAACCAGCCUUCAAGACGUCAGAGGGAUCAAGAAUUUCUAGAUAGCAUUGAGAAGACUCUAAAUGCUGGUGGAAAAGUAUUACUACCUGUAGAUACUGCUGGUCGCGUAUUGGAACUCAUUUUGUUGCUAGAGCAGCACUGGCAUCAAAAGGGUUUGAGCUAUUCCAUAUUUUUUCUCACAUAUGUUGCAUCAAGUACAAUUGACUAUGUCAAGAGCUUCCUUGAGUGGAUGAGUGAUUCAAUAGCCAAGUCUUUUUGAGGACAGACGGGAUAAUGCUUUUCUUUUGAAGCAUAUCACACUUUUGGUAAACAAGAGUGAGCUUGAAAAGUUGCCAGAAGGUCCCAAGGUGGUUCUGGCAUCCAUGGCAAGUCUAGAGGCUGGAUUUUCACAUGAUAUAUUUGUUGAAUGGGCUACCGAUACAAGGAAUCUUGUUUUAUUCACCGAAAGAGGGCAGUUUGGCACACUAGCGCGUAUGCUUCAGUCUGAUCCACCUCCUAAAGUAGUUAAAGUUACCAUGUCAAAGAGGAUACCUUUGGUUGGAGAAGAGCUAGCUGCUUAUGAGGAGGAGCAAAAUAGGGUAAAGGAGGAAGCUCUCAAAGCUAGUAUGAUUAAAGAUGAAGAAUCAAAAGCAUCUCUUGGAGUUGACACUCUUACGAGUGACCCAAUGGUCAUUGAUUCAUCUAAUGUCAAACAUACUUCAUUAAAUGCUACCAGUCUACAAGUUGGUCCUUACAAGGAUGUAUUGAUUGAUGGGUUUGUUCUACCUUCUUCUAGUGUCGCACCAAUGUUUCCCUGCUAUGUUAAGUCCUCUGAUUGGGAUGAUUUUGGUGAAGUCAUCAAUCCUGAUGAUUAUGUCAUCCAGGAAGAACAUAUGGAGUUAUCAUUGAUGCCUGUUGAUGGAGAUCUUCAUGGAAAGCUUGAUGAGGGAUCUGCUAGCCUGAUAUUUGAUACUACACCAUCAAAAGUUGUAUCUUCUGAGUUAACUGUCCAAGUCAAGUGUUCCUUGGUUUACAUGGAUUUUGAAGGCCGCUCUGAUGGUCGUUCAAUCAAAUCUAUUCUUGCCCAUGUUGCUCCCUUAAAGCUUGUUUUGGUACAUGGCACAGCUGAAGCAACAGAGCAUUUGAAACAACAUUGUCUGAAGCAUGUAUGCCCACAUGUUUAUGCUCCCCAAAUUGAAGAAACGAUUGAUGUUACUUCAGAUUUGUGUGCUUAUAAGGUGCAACUAUCCGAGAAAUUAAUGAGCAAUGUGCUGUUUAAGAAACUUGGAGACUAUGAAAUAGCAUGGGUUGAUGCUGAAGUGGGGAAAACAGACAGUGGCAUGUUGUCUUUACUUCCUCUUUCAGAUUCUGCUCCACCACAUAAGACAGUACUUGUUGGAGACCUAAAACUGUCAGAUUUCAAGCAGUUUCUUGCAAGCAAGGGUGUGCAGGUAGAAUUUGCAGGUGGAGCCUUACGGUGUGGGGAGUAUGUGACUUUGCGAAAAGUAGGAGAUGCAAGCCAAAGGGGUGGUGGUGCUGCUGCUAUACAACAUAUCAUUCUUGAGGGGCCACUUUCUGAAGAAUAUUACACAAUUCGGGAGUAUUUAUAUUCACAAUUUUAUCCCUCUAAAUCUGAGUUGGAAGAGAUCUUCAUUCCUCGGGAAUUUGAUAUGUUCGAGUUUGACUUAUUUUUCGCAAUAGGCUGAAUGUAUCACAGGACAGGCUGGUAUGCAUUUGCCUAUGUAAGAAGGAUUGUAUACAUUCAAUCACCUUAAUUUUUGUCAAAAUCGCUUUCCGAGA